UAGUCUGAUGGAGCACGCCGCGUGAGUGAAGAAGGGUUUCGGCUCGUAAAACUCUGUUGUUAAAGAAGAACAUAUCUGAGAGUAACUGUUCAGGUAUUGACGGUAUUUAACCAGAAAGCCACGGCUAACUACGUGCCAGCAGCCGCGGUAAUACGUAGGUGGCAAGCGUUGUCCGGAUUUAUUGGGCGUAAAGCGAGCGCAGGCGGUUUUUUAAGUCUGAUGUGAAAGCCUUCGGCUCAACCGAAGAAGUGCAUCGGAAACUGGGAAACUUGAGUGCAGAAGAGGACAGUGGAACUCCAUGUGUAGCGGUGAAAUGCGUAGAUAUAUGGAAGAACACCAGUGGCGAAGGCGGCUGUCUGGUCUGUAACUGACGCUGAGGCUCGAAAGUAUGGGUAGCAAACAGGAUUAGAUACCCUGGUAGUCCAUACCGUAAACGAUGAAUGCUAAGUGUUGGAGGGUUUCCGCCCUUCAGUGCUGCAGCUAACGCAUUAAGCAUUCCGCCUGGGGAGUACGGCCGCAAGGCUGAAACUCAAAGGAAUUGACGGGGGCCCGCACAAGCGGUGGAGCAUGUGGUUUAAUUCGAAGCUACGCGAAGAACCUUACCAGGUCUUGACAUACUAUGCAAAUCUAAGAGAUUAGACGUUCCCUUCGGGGACAUGGAUACAGGUGGUGCAUGGUUGUCGUCAGCUCGUGUCGUGAGAUGUUGGGUUAAGUCCCGCAACGAGCGCAACCCUUAUUAUCAGUUGCCAGCAUUAAGUUGGGCACUCUGGUGAGACUGCCGGUGACAAACCGGAGGAAGGUGGGGAUGACGUCAAAUCAUCAUGCCCCUUAUGACCUGGGCUACACACGUGCUACAAUGGAUGGUACAACGAGUUGCGAACUCGCGAGAGUAAGCUAAUCUCUUAAAGCCAUUUC
rnacentral:rRNA from 2 species